UUCAUACGAUCUUUAAAAUUUUUUUGUCACAACGAUAUUGAUUCUUUUUGAUUAUAAAAUUUAUCAUUCUUCAUAUCGACAUGAAAUUGUCAUUUCAAUUUUUGUUACCAUUCCUUUGGAUAUCCUUGUCUUCACAAGAAUUAUUGUACAAAUGGAGAUAUAUAGAUUUUGAUUGGUAUUGUGAGACUCAUAAGAACGAAUACAUCAAAAAAGGAUUAUAUAUAAAAAAUGCUUCAGUACCUAUCGACACAUUGAUUACAAAUGGCCGAAUAUUUAUUACUAUACCACGUUCGAAAGGAGUACCUGCCAGUUUAGGAACCCUUAAUACACAGAAACAAAAUGGUGGAGGUCCUUUAGUUCGACCAUAUCCAAGUUGGGGAUGGGCAAGUGAUAUACAAGAUUGUUAUAACACUAUCAUCAGUGUUUAUAGAGUAGAUUUGGACGAUUGCGGUAGAUUAUGGGUUUUGGACAAUGGAAAGAUUGGAGAAGAACAAAAGUGUCCACCUAAGAUUUUAGCGUUUGAUUUAAAAACUGAUAGGUUGAUGGUACGGAAAGAGAUUCCCAAUAAAUAUGCUUUUAAUAGCAAUGGUAAUGGAAAUUUAGUAACACCUUUGGUGAAAACUUCAGGAAAACAAUGUGAGAAGAUAACGAUGUACAUGGCGGAUGUAGAGGGCUAUGGAUUAGUAAUAUGGAGAGGAGGCAAUAAUUUUCAAAGAUUCGAUUCACCAGAUUUCGCGGCUGAUAAAACGCUAUCAAAUUUUACAUUAAACAAUGAUACUUUUUAUCUAGCCGAUGGUCUCAUCGGACUGGCAUUGUACGAAGACGAAAAUAAAAAGAAUAGUAAAUUAUACUGUAGUUCAUUGGCUUCUUAUAAUAUGUACCAUAUAUCAGUGAAUUCAUUGGAACAAAGUACUGAUGGAAAAAUUAAUAUACAGCAAGAUAAGGGUGACGUUGAUUUUCGCAAAGUACCAUUGGCUAUUAAAGGAAAUACAAUAUUUUUUUCUAGUUUAGAAGAUAAUGCUAUAAGAAUGUGGGAUAUAAACACAGAAUUCACCAAAAAGAAUGUGAAAAUAAUAAAGAAGGACAAUAAUUUAUUACAAUUUGUUAGCGGCUUGAAAAUUUUAAAGAAUUCUAAUAAUACUUCGAAAUGUACGACCAUCUAUGGACUGUCGAAUAAAUAUCAAAAAGUAGCAACUGGUACACUAUCUUUGAAUAAAAUCAAUUAUCAGAUUUUCAAAUAUGAAUUGAAUUAAGACGAGAUAUUAAUCGAAUUUCACGAUCAGGAUUAUCUUAAGUAAAUAUUCUGACAAUAACCCGCAAUUCCGUGGAUUUUAUUAUAAAUAUCUAUAUACGAUAGCACUUUUAAAUAUUGCACAAUAGGAGUUUUAAAUAUUGUAUUCUUAUAUAAUAAUAAUAAUAAUAUAUCAAAAUGAAACAAUAAAAAAAUAUAUAUUUACUCUUUGAAAAA